AAGUACUAAAGAUACUCAAGAAGGCAUUGGAGGAGCUUGCUCCUUGGGCAGUUGGUUUUGGAAACAUAUUCCAUGUACUUUCUUGAGAGAGAAACUUACAUUUAGUAGUUCUAUGUAGGAUCUAUGGUGUGGGAUUGCGUCAAGUCUGCAGUAUUUUCCAUAGAACAUGGCUACUAUUAGUUCUAUGGCUACUAUUAAAGUGUUUGCGGUGAAUAAUGGACAGCUAUUAUAUUGUCUAUGAUGAUGAUGAUGUUGCAUUGUGGUAAAUGUCAACAAUUGUGGACCUGUUGACAUUGACUUUGGCAUGUCUAGUGUUUGUGGUAAUAGUAGAAAAUGGUAUUUUUGGAUCAGUGAUCCUGUAACCUGUUGCCUAAAGCCCUGUUACGUUGGUUGAGUUGCUUUGAAUGUUGGUUUGCAAAAGAGACGUGUUUGUGGGAGUCUUUCGAUUUUGGCAUCCUGUUUCUACGUUGUUUUCAUUUUUGAGCUUGCAUUAGAUAAAGUGCUCUUUACUUUAACCGAGAAUGAUAAUAUUGUGGAGCGUUAGCCUGUCCUUGUUGAAUUGUGAAACAGGUAUUUACAAUUCUUGAGGUGGGUAUCUCACUAAAACUGGUCGGUUAGGUUUCAGUGCAUGCGUCUGUUUGUGCUAGACUGUUGUUGAUCCAGCUGGUUCUACAGGCUGUUUGAGGAUUAUUACUAGUUGCUUUUUCUUCCCUUGUUUAGUUUUCAAGCCAGUAUUUUCGCGGGGUAUAUUUGAGCAAGUUACCGAAUUCCCAAUUCUCUAGCAUAGGUUCUUUUUGUUCGAGAAGGAACAAAGAAAACUUUGAAUGUGAAAAUUGUGAGGUUGUAGAACAAGAAAUUUCUGAGCGGAUAAGCAAACAAAAUCAAGGACACAAUGGCCUCAUAAGUUCGAACCACUUCCAAGUAUCUGCUCCUCUUUUCUCCUUCAAGAAUGUGUGUGGUCUGUCUUUGUGAGUGAGUGAGUUUGUUCGUUCUCCAGAAAGAAGUGCAAUGAAGAAUGCCUUGUGGCUUACAUGAAAAACAACCAGCUUAGUAAAUGUUUAAUAGAUCAAAAGAAAAGAAUCAUGAUACUGCUUCUCAAAGGGGUGCUAUAUUGUUCAAAAAAAGGAAGGGACGGGAUUAGGUGAUUUAGAAGAGGACGUGUAAGCGAGAAGUUUCGGAUUCAAACACAUCUAUUACUUAGGUGAUUUAGAAGAGGGGGUGUAAGCGAGAAGUUUCGGAUUCAAACACAUCUACUACUUGCACUAGAAAGAAAGAGGGUAUUAUGCUAUAACCUUCUUAAAAACUUGUCAAAAACUUUUUCAUUUUUAUAACUUACGCAAAAAAGCUAAUAAAAAUGGAGUGAAAAAAACACUGGGAAAAUGAUUAAUGCUAGUAAUCUUAAGGGGAUUUGUCUUAUAUUUUAUUAAAUUAGACCUGUGUUUCAUUUGGAUUUGACUCCUAUACUAAAGUUCCAAGAACUUCAUUAUAAACCAUCUGGUUGCAUGUAAUUUCUUACCCAUUCUCGUUCGUUGCGAAUUUUACUUCUCACGAGCUUUCUCCUAUUCAUGUUUAUCAGUCCUAGAGUAUAUAGCUGCUGCUGCUUUUUUUUUUUUUUUUUUUUUUUUGGAAAGAAGGUUACACGUACCGGUUUUGUGACUCCAAAAAAUUUAGUAGCUUAUUCAUUAAUCAAUAGCAUCCCUUCACCUCAAAAAAUUGUCAUCAUAGUAAAGAACAUUCUGCAUUGUAGUAAUAGUUUUAUUUUUUAUUUUUUUGGUUUUAGUGGAGCCAUCAAAUUUGAGUAGUCUCAAUGACAUUCAGCUUCAGGAUCUACUCUGCUUGAAGCAAACAGCUUCAAGGUCUUUCAUUAAUAUUACUUGCCUAGCACCUAGUCCUUGCUCUAACUACUGAUGUGAAGGAAGUUUGAUCAGGCUUUUAAAUGGGAGUCUGUUUUCACUUGCCAAACUGGUGCUAACGCUUCAUAUAUAGAGAUCAUAAGUGCCAGAGCUCAUGGUAGAGAAACAAGUGCAGAACUCCAGAUCCUUCAACAUGAUCAUGACCAAGUCUAUUCAAAGUUUGCUAGACCAAUUUCAAACAUAAUAACCACCACCAACUACAAAUCCCAUUACAGCCAAUGCAGAAGUAAAUAGACAGUACACCAAUAAAAGCCAUUUGACUUGCUUUGUCUGGAUACAUCAAGAGUAUAAUUACCUAGUUUGAGCAAAUUCUUUUUCUAGUAUAUGGUACAAAAGGUCCUUUAUGUUGUUAUAGCAAUACUGGAACAACAUGGCGAUUAAGAGUAAAACCACGAACCAAAUCCAUCCGUGGAGACCUUUUUACAGAAUUGGCAAUGUGGAUCACCUUCCAGAUUCCUUAAGUAGCUUUCUUUGACCUGUAUGCUUUGGCACAAAAGAUAUAGAUGACCAUGUUCAAGAAGCUUAGACCAGCCAAGAGCCAGAAGAAAUAAUCAAGAUGGCCCUCAUUCAAGUUAUCUGGAAUCCAUCCAAAUUUUCCUCCUCUAGUGGUUAUGGUUGUAACUACGGUCAGAAUGAGAGCGCUCAAGUAAUUUCCCAAACAAGUUGUCAGAAGUGACAAGGCUGCGCACAAACUUCGCAUGGCAUCUGGCGAUUGGUCAUAGAAGAACUCAAGCUGACCAAUGAAGAAAAAAACUUCAGCAGCCCCCAAUAAGAAAUAUUGAGGUACUUGCCAAAAGAUAUUAAGCGGGACUGCAACAGCUUCAUCAACAAGUCCAAGGUCUCUUGCAAGUUGCAGUCGCUUAAUCUCCACCACAGCGGCAGCAGCCAUGCAGAAAACAGAAACAAAAAGACCAAUUCCCAUCCGUUGCAGUUCUGUAAAUCCCCUUUCCUUGCCAGUAAACUUUCUAGCAAUGGGGACAAGGAUCCUGUCAUAGACUGGAACCCAAAAGAUCACACUGAUAACAUCAAAUGUUGAAAGAGAAGCUGCAGGAAUUGUAAAGGAACCGAUCGAAGUAUCCAUCAUCAUCCCCUGCUCCACAAACAUGGUUGACAUUUGAGCAUAAACAGCAGAAAACACUAUUCCUGUUGCCCAGAUGGGAAACAUCCGGAUUAAGAUCUUCAGUUCCUCAACCUGAGUAACUGUGCAAACCUUCCAAGGAUUGGACAAAUCACCAGUUUUGAUCUCAGCUUCUGAUAUUACAGCAGCUUUAUCAAGGCAUCUGCAGAACAAAGAGCACAUGAUGAAGAUAGACCCAUUGGAAAGCAAAGAAAAUGGAGAGCCUUCAAGGGGCAGAGAUGGGAUCAAAUUCUACUCCACUUUUUGACAGAUCUUUAGUGAGAAACUAAGUUGGUCAAUGUAGUACAACUGAACUUGCAUUGACCAGGAAAAUGUUUAUUAAUGUAGCAUAAUUUUGCAAAUCUCUCAAAUAGCGCAUUUCCAUGGACCACCAAAUUGCUAAAUCUUUUCUCAAUGGUGUCUUUAAUUUUUCUAUGAGUUGGAAUAAAACAGUCUAUGUUGUAAACAACUAUCCACAAUUCAAAAUGCAAUAACAACGGUGUUUGGUGCAAUUUACUUGAUUUGAGCAAUGUAAUCCAAGAAAAUCUACACAAUCGUUUUAAGAAUCUAAAGAUGCAAGCCUAGGGAAGAGGAGGUGAAUUGAGUCACUUGCAACACCAGAUUACUAAGUGAAAAAGUGAAUGCAACAAGAGGACUCCAUGUAGAAUAUUUCACUGGCAUUACCAAACUCCCCCCCCCCCCCUCUCUCCCCACCCCAAAAGAAAAAAAUAGAAAGUACAACAAAACAGUCAAUGUAAAUGUAGCAUAAAAAUACUUGCCAAAACACAGUCAGCGAUGUAAACAAGGAAGUAACAAGCUAACUUAAAUCUGAUUGAACAAGAAGGGUUAUGAUUUGGAAUCUCACUUUAAUUCAUCAGUGUGAAACAGCUUUCUACUUCCUUCAAUUGCCGAGAAUUCAUCUUGUGUCUCAUACAGAAGAUUACUAUCCUCCGGAACAGGCAAACUCCACUUACGACAUGAAGCCACCAAAACCUGGCACAUCCUUGUGAUUGGGCUUCCUCCAGGUUUCUGAAACCUAUAAAGAGGAGUGCCAGAAAAGAAACUCACAAUAGCAAUGGCCAUAACCACAGCAGGAAUGCCAAAACCAAGGCCCCACCCAGCAUUAUCUUGAAUCCAGACAAUCAAGCUACUUGAAACAAAAGCCCCUAUGUUGACUGAGAAAUAAAACCAAUUAAAAAAGGACCCCUUCUUGGCCCUCUCCUUUGGAUCUGUAUCAUCAAAUUGAUCAGCACCAAAUGAUGAAACACAUGGUUUGAUCCCACCAGUUCCAAGUGCUAUCAAAUAUAGGCCAAUAAAAAAUAUGGCAUACUGAGCAGGAGUAGCUGAAGGGCAUACAGAAUCCACACAUUCAGCAGGCCGAAAAGCAGGAACUGUCGCUGAGAGAGACAAUGUGCACAUUCCCUGUAGAUAACGAUUACAGAAAGAUAGUAUGAGCAAUCAAUAAAGUGAAAACACACCAAGCUUAAAGCAAGUAAAGCCUGCUGCAUCAGUAAAGAACAUGAUGAGCAAAAAGCCAAUAAAAGAGCCCAGUUACUAUCUAUGGCAUGGCUAAAUCAAAUGACUGCUAUGCCAAAUAAUAUGGAAAUGCUAGAUAUGAUGCAACAGGAACUAAGAAAUCCCACUUAAAAAAAAGUGCUGAGCACUAUGUAGAUUGUAGGCAUGAUUUACUGAAGGACAAAGUGAUAAUCAUUGGGAAGUCAUAAAAGUGGACAAAGAUAAGAAUCCCUUAUUGGAGUUGAUGAAAUAAACUACUGCUGCAAUUUUUCUUCCUUAGGAAUUUCUUUUCUUCUCCUACUCUUGCUUGGAUUCAGAUUCCAUAAAGCCAUUAAUUAUUCUCCUGAAUUUCCAUGUAGAUGAAAUAAACUACUGCUACAAUUUUUCUUCCUUAGGAAUUUCUUUUCAACUUAUCUCCUACUCUUGCUUGGAUUCAGAUUCCAUAAAGCGAUUAAUUAUUCUCCUGAAUUUCCAUCACUAUUUCAAGAACUUGUGACAGUUUCUCCAACCACCUUAUCCUAUUUGACCAAGAACUGUUGACUUCAGUGAUGUAGUGAGGUUCUGAAAGAGGAAAAUUCCCAACAAUUUGAACAAUGAACGUAAAACACCUAACUAAAGUAAAUACAUAUUUUGUAGAAGUCCAAACAUCCUUCGUAAAACCUUGGCAAUAUGGAUAAGAAGCAAUGAUGAAAGCAAUUAUCAAUAAUGAUCUCGAACAUGUACUAUAUCCAACCCUUUAUAAAAGCAGGAGAAGGAAAUGAAAUGAACUUAAAGAAUAUUACAAUGAAAUAAAUAGUGGAGAAGGUAGCAAUUGUCCAGUAUCUUCCCCAACAUGCAUCUGCUAUUACUGCCCCAAUAAGCGGAGUUAAAUAGCAAGUGCCCUGCCAAGUUGUGACAUUUCUUGCGGCUGAAACAUUUCCUUCAUGCAUCUUUUUGGUGAGAUAAGUAACAAGAUUAGUAGAUAUCCCAUAGUAGGCCAAGCGUUCACAACAUUCAGUACCUGUUACCAUUUCACUUGUUGACUUAGAAUGUUUGACAGUCAAAAAAUAUGAAAAAAAGAUGAGAGAAGAGCGAAGAACUACCAAGAAUGAAUGGACAUGCUCUCCAGUUUCCUGUGUUGCUUUUUAGAACAGGUUUUCCAUUGAUGUCUACUGAACCAUCUCCAGUAUAUAGUCCAUUGCUUUCAUUCUGAAAAGGGAGAAGACCAAUACAUAUGGUAAUACAAGUUCAAAGUAAGAUUUUUUGCACAUCAACUCCCAUGAGAUACAGAUAGAGAGGCACACUUCUGAUGAUAGAGUUAGCCUAUCUGUUCCUACCUGCAUAUAUUUCUCAUAUAAUUCUCAUUAAAACAAUGUAUUCCUCAUAACAAGAAAAUUCUAAGAUAUUACAGCACAUGGUUAGCUGAAACCCUCUAAAAUAUCACUGAUCGUGGAUUAGCACAUGCACAUAAUCACAGAAAGAAUGUUUCAGAUGUCCAACUAACAUUUUGUAUGCAGGUUAGACACUCAAGUCAGAACAUUGAUGGCCAAAGGUUAAAAAAUAUGAAAGCAUUAGAUAAUUUUACAACCAACUGAAGCUUAACAAGUAAAAGGUCGUAAUCAAGAAUGUCCAAAAGACAUCCAGAGAUAAAGCUUAUGCAAGACCAAAGUUUAUCAGCCAAGCACCGUAAGUAAACAACACUUUGGAAAAGUCAUAUGAAGAUUAGAUUAAAUUGCCAUAAUUAGCCACAAAAAGUCACAUUCAGUAGUUCAGUUGGGAACUUUAAACACACAGCACCAAAUAAAACAGACAUAGAUCAAAUAUUUUGCCCAAAAACAUAAACAAGUUUUAACAUCUACUAGAAACCCACAAGGAACGAUGCCCAAGAACAGGAAGUUAUGAAGCGUGUGCAAAUUCACAUACAGUAACAGCAUGCGCAAUUAUACCUUGAAGUAGAUAAACUAGUUCUAAAUCUCAUGACUUAGAAGAGCAAAGACAGCUCCUCUAAAGGUCUAUAUCCCUAGAGCAGCAGCAUCACUAAUGAGGCAUUUCAAGCUAUUUAUCUAAAGGGUACUAAUCAAAAUGUCAUUCACUGAACUUUGUCAAAUUUUGCAUCAUUGCAAGUUGUAUGAUCAUCCACACUCACCAAACACAUUAAACUCAGCUAUUCACCAAAAAUAGUUAAUCAUCCAUUUAAGUAUUUUGCAGCCCUAGAAGAUGUAGCUGUUGGGAUUUUACUGAUACAAGUAACAAUCCUAUAAUUGACUUACAGCUUCUUUUCCAGGUCACCACUUUUUCAUGAUUUAGAAGCCUUAUCAAACUAAGAGACAGAAAAUUCCUUUAACUAAAAUAAAUCAUAUAUGAUCAAUCUUUUUCCACAAUGAUUUAAAAUAAAUUGAAAAUUUUAAGUCCUAAAUAUUAAUUUGUUUUUCAUAUAGCUGUACCAAAUCCCAAAUCCUGUUAUCCAAAAUCAUAUUCUUUUCCCAAAUGCAAAGUCAAGGAAAAGUAGUUCCAAAAUUGUCCCACAAUAAAAAAACGAGACAGGAACUUGCGUGAAAGCCAAAGCUAUUGCUUCAUCUGCUCAACCUCAAUUCCUUAAUACUUAAAAAACUCUUCAAAAUCCACUCUUUAUAGAACCUUAAACAUUCCAGGAAAGGGGGAAAAAUCUGAAAAUUCCACAGCACAAAUCUAAAAUUGCAAUCACAGUGCGAAUUGGAGCAAUCCAAAUCGAACCCAGAUACUAUUUUUGGCCAAGAAAUCGACCAUGCAUGAAUUACAACUGAAAUUACAAUCAGCUGACUUAUUCCAAGACAGCCCUUUUCUUCUCAAUUAUAAAGCAAUAACGUAUGUACAUGUGGACAGAUGGAGAGAAGCAAAACCUGAACAAGUCCCUCUUCCAAGAGCAGCCUGUCAUCUUCUUGAGUACCCAUUGAAGAAGACAAAUUCAGGAAAGAUUUUGAUGAUUGAUUGAUACACUUUUUAUUACUGGUUCGGUGCAGAGAGAAUCUGAAGGAGAAACAAGAAGGGAAGGGAGACACGGGAGAAUCCUGGAUAAACAGAGUCGUUUUAAUCGGAAAUUAGAAUCUAUUUGUCUUUCCCUAUCGAAAAUUCAGUGGGGACUUGGGAAUUGGGGCUUUUGAGUACGGCCGGACCCAUUUAAACAAUUAUUUGUUUGUUUUUCUUUGUGUUUAUACAUGUAUGUGGAUUUGGGAACUUUGGAUGGUGGUUUAUUUGUUGAAUUUUAUUUGAUUACAUCACAAACAUAUUUUUUUAAUUUUUUUUAAUUUUUUCAAUCAUUUUUUAACAUAUCAUGUUAAAAGAAAAGUGUUACAGUGUUUUUUAAAAUAUUAUUUCAAAUAAUCUCCGAUCCAAAUAAAUUUUUCUUGAGUUUUUCAAAUGUGUAAUUAUAAAUUUUUCUUCAGUUUUACCAAAUUUUUUUGUUAGCUUAAUUAAGAUUUUUAACUUCAACUUAUGACCAAAUUUAAGUUGCAUUCAAGCAGCUGGGGUUUUUUUUUAAAAAAAAAUUUCAGCAAUGGAGGGAUGAGAUUUAAAAAACGAAGAGGAGAUUUAAGGAUUAGAAUUCAAGGUCUCUAAUUUCUGAAAAAUUUAUAACUGAUAAACUAUAAAUAAUAAAUAUUUUUUCUAAAUUACAAACACAUUCUUGUCUUUCCACUAGUUUAAGUUACUAUCAAGCAAAAAUGUUGGAAAGUGAAAAUAUCUACUAGAGAUGGCAACCAAUAGCCUCAUCCCUAGUCUCUCCUUUUCUACAUUAGUUUCAACUUUUAUUUCAAAAGACAUUAUUAAAAGAAAAAAAAACUUUUAUUUCAAAAGAAAACCAGUAGUAGCAUCCAUUAGUUUUUAUUUUUUUAAAGUAUUUUAAUUUUUUAUUUUAAAAGCGAAUCGAUAACGGAACCUUAAUUACUUUUGAUCCCAAAACUUACAAUUAAUUACGUGUGAUGCAUGUUACAAACUAAAUUGAAAUUUGUUAUGUAUUACUCUUUUUUUUUUUGGGAAGUUAAUUGAAGGUUUUGGAACAAUUUCCAAACCUGAGCAAACCAACUGCCAAAGUAUGCUGAAAAAAAAUAAAACUCCCAAGGUAUGCUCAUUUGGGGUAAACAAAUGGCCAAGAACUAGCAAACCAACCAAAUUCCGACAUAUUUAUUCAAGGCAAACACUUGGGUAGACCUAUCUAUAUAAACGUAAUUGCUCAAAAUUUGCCACAUAUCUCACCAAUUCAAGUAUUGAACGUGUGAUAAACUUUAGACCAUUAAAUCUACAAGAUCAACGCUACGCAAAUUUCUGCCUUCAUUUAAAUGAGUAGGAACUACAAGAAGCCAACAACUUACCGCGAUAUUCAUUAAAGUUCAUUUCGUCAAGGCACCGAUGUCACGACUUUAAGACAAGUAGAUAGAAAAGCGUUACAGCAUUGCGUGAUGGCUAAUGUAGCCGCAAAGACGGGAAAGGUGAGAAAGAAGGGGAAGCAGGCAAGCUUUGGAACUUUGAAAGUGAAAGGGAAUAAUUUCCAAAAUAUGCUUUUACACCAUGAAUUUCAGCUGGAAUAUCUUUCUUUUUAUAGUCAUUGGUUUUGAAUAAAGGUGUUUAGGGCAGUAUGGGUCCAUAACUAUUGGCACUGAAUUCAAUAAUAAUUUAAACUUCUAAGUUAUUACUCCCUAUAUAUUUGGGAGGUGAAAAUAUCUAGUGGAAAUGGCAAGCCACUGCGACAGCCUCCUAUUCCUUGUCAAAAAAUUCCUGCUUUCAUUAUCCUAAAGCAACACCAAAAAAAAAAAUACAACAUUUCUUCUCUCUUUUUUUUUAUGCAACGGCAAUCAUUUAAUUUAUUCCUUCUCCUUCUCUCAUUUCUAUUCUAACGGGGAGAAUAAAGAGACUUAUGUACUGUACUCUGAAUUUUUUAAAAAGAAGAAAUACUGUGCUUCUUUUGUGAUGCAUUAUACAGGGUUUGAACCCCUAAUUUAGUGCACAAAAGAAUUGCAAAGGGGCUCUGCUUGGUCAUUGGAUCAAGAUCCAAUGAUUAAGAAAAAAGAAAAAAGAAAAAGGUAACAAUUGAUUUAGUUUAUUUGAGUUAAUUGAAGCUUUUGAUAUAAUUUUCAAGUCCAAGCAAACCAACUUCCAAGAUAUACUUAUUAUAAUUAAAAAAAAUAAAUUACUAGUAGCAGACAAAACAAAACCAACAAACAACUCCCGAGAUAUUUACUAAUGUCCAUUUCGUUAAGGCACUGAUGUCACGUCUUUAAGACAAAUAGAUAGCAAAAGCGUUACAUCAUUGCGUCAGGAUUAAUAUAGCUGCAAAGACAGGAACGGUGGGAAAGAAGCGGAAACUUUGGAACCUUGAGAGUGAAACGGUACAAUUUCCAAAAACUUGGUAGUGAAUAAAUGUCCUGUCACAGCCUUCUUAGGCUCCCCUCCCCUUAGAUUAGGAUAGAAUAAGUUAUACAAAUGUAUCGUUGCUGACAAAAAAAUAAAUAAAUAAAUGUCUUUCUUCUCGAAUGAAUAUAAAUGAGCUUAGUGAAAUUGUACUGAAGGAAGGAUCAUAUAUGUAGAACUCAAAAAAUUUCACUAAAAAUAUAUAGGACAUAUAGUAUAUCAUAAAGUUAAUAUACAUAAUAGGGAGGCAAUUGACACACGUAUAAGUAUGUGCAUGUGAAAAAAAGAGGAAUAAAUCAAUAAUAUAUUAUUAAUUAUACAUAAUAAUAAAGCUAUCAAAUAUCACACUUCUCAAUUAAUGAUAAUAAUAACACUCCUAUUUGUACAGACUACUAGAUGAUCUAGUAAACAAGUCUUACAAUAACAAAAAAAUUUUAAUAAAAUAUUAAUUUGUAAAUAAUAAAAUUAUCAUAACUCAAGUCCAAUACAAUUAUUAAAACCUUAAUUUGACUAAAACGCUUUGGAAAAGCCACAUUUUUUCCUCAAUAGAACGCUGGCUACAUUUUUUCCGCCAUAGAAAAGCCACGUUGAGAUGGAGGGUCUGAUUUAAAAGUCUAGUAUGACAAAUUAUAAUAUAAGAACAAUAAUUGCUAACUUUUUUCAUCCUUUAGCACGGCAAAUUCUUCAAUAUCUUUAAGAUUUAAGUGCAUGAACUAAUUAGGUAACUUUGUUUAAUUUCUUCUCUCCAAAAUUUUCUCCCCAUUAUGAUAUGUCACAAGUAGCAACUUCGUUCCUUCUGAUAAAUAUAUUUUUGUAUUGACAAAAUUUUUUGAUUUGUUUUACCUCAUGCUUCUAUAUUUAUGAACUUUUAAUUUUGCUCAAUUUCAUUUUCACUAAUUGUUUCACAACUAUAAAUCAUUGAAUCACUUGAUUGAAUAACUUUGUUUUGUAUAAAUUUAAGUUGAUUGUCAACGUCCAAAAAAGAAAUAAAGAAUAAUUACUGAAUAAUUGAUUCUUAAGAAGUUUGAUUGAUAUUCAUGUAGUUUAGAAGAUUAAUGGAAACGUGCCCUUAUUUUGAUCCAGAAUUAUUAGGAUUUCUUUAGACUGGAUUCUGUGUAUGUUUAACAAAAUCUAUUGCUUUUCCUUUCUGGCUCAUGAAAAGGAGAAGAUAAAAAAAAAGCACCCCAUUAGCUAUCCUUUACCUUUUUUUUUUCUUCCGGAGACGACAAUUGUUAUAUAACCUAAUCUAUUCUAUACUAAGGGGAAGGGGGCGGACCUAAGGAGGAUCAGGGAUAACCCGGAGGGGACUGAACCACCACUGGACCAAACGGGUGCACAACACACUCGCUUGAAUUUUUUGAAGCAAACCACUUAAAUGUGGCAUUUUGAACCCUUGCCUUCCACCCCACAAGCUAGGUGGUGGCCGGUUCAUUAGCUAUCCUUUACCACUUCACAAUAUUUUAGUCUUUUUGAAUCUUUUCCACCCAUAAAGUGCCUUAAUAAUACUAACAGCAGUUUGUCAUUAUCCACAAAAACAAAAAUAUCAUGUCAGAAUUCGCACUAAACUCAACAGUAAUUCAAACUUCUAAGUUAUUACUACUAUAUUUGGAUGUUUCUUGGUAUCCUUUUUCUGCACAAGUACAAGAAUUUGUAUUUGCAAAUGCACUCUAAUAAAAGAAAAUAUAUAUAUAUAAACAUAGAGAUAAUGGGAUAAUAAUACAACAUAUCUAAGGUACAAUUCUUCCAAUUAAGACUAACUUCUUGAAAUAUAACAAAGAAUAAAAAGUUGCUCAUUUUAAUUCAUUUAAUUUUAUCAUUUUUUAGUUGGUUUUUUUUUGGUAUCCAUUGACAUGGUUUUCAGGCCAUGCAUAAUUAAAUUAAAUAAACACAUACCGGAAACUAUUAUUGCUUCUUUAAUGCUGCUUUUCCUUGCACCUUUAAGCAAAGAAUAUUUCAUGCCAUCCAACAAAUCAAAACGGACAUGCAGAUGAAGUAUUUGCUUUUCCUUGCCCAUUAAUUAAGCAAACAGGAAAGACAUUUCUCAUCUUUCCCUUGACCAAAAGAAUGUAUAGUAAUUCUUGGCAUGAACUUGGAUAUUUCUUAUCUCACAUUCUCAUGUGCUAUUUGCUUAAACAAUGGAUAUAGACAUAUCUUAAGGGCUCAAUGGAUGCCAAUGAUAAUCACUUCUGAAUAUGUUAUUGCAGAAAAUUCAAGAAAAAAAAGAUUGCUGGAGCUUGCAAACAUUGACUAAGAACAAUAUAAUAGGACACUAAUUACAAAUAGACCCUAAAAAUUAUGAGAUAAUUAAAGGAUCCGUCAUUUCCGCACAACAAACUGGACUUUAAUCAUCAGGGUGUUAUUUAAUUAGUAUCCUAUAGCUUGAUGGUGAAAUUCAUCUGAAGAAGUCAUGGAUAAAUAAACACACAACCAUAAAAAAGAAAAUUGAACAGUCACAUAAACUUUUAUGGAGCCGAAGAAUUAAAAUUCAACAACUUUAAAAUAAUUAAUAUCAAAUGAGUAGUAAGUUAAUAAUUAAAAUAUUCAUUAUGAAUAGUAACUUUGGAAAAAACACGUAACCAGAUUAAUUAUAAAAAUAAAAGUAUGCCAGCAAACUUUGAAAAAGAAUAAUGAUAAACAGCCCAAAAUCUGAUUUUUGCACGUUACGUAACCGAAACACAAUAAAUGGUAAAAUAUCUGAUUAACUUGCACGUGAUUAAUUCAUGUAGACUUUGUUGGUGGAUUUUGACAAUUUGAAUUGUGUAUUACUACUCUUUAAUAAAACAAUUCACUUUUACCAAAAUAAUGGAUAGCAGCUUUGGAAAAUGCAAAGGGUUUGAGGGAAAUUAAAAGAAGCAUGAAAUUCUUUUUGAAAGUUCAAGCAAAUCUUUGUCAAUUAUACAGAACCUUAGGCAUACUUUAAGCAUAGAAUACAUAAGGAAAACUCAAUUGUGGGGUUUUUUAUUCUUUUGGUAAGCUAGAAGAUGGGUUUUCACCCAUUAAUUUCUCGUCAUUUUGUUUAAAUAGAAUCUAUAUGUGUUAAAAGCUCAGGCCUUGUCUGCAUUGUGAUUUUUCGCAGAAAAUUUUUUACAUUUUUUUGCGAACACAUUUCUCAAUCAUCGUUUUAUUUCAUAUAUAUCAAAUCGUUACAGUACAUUUUUUUUAUAUAUAAAAACUCCUAAAAAUAGCAAUCUAAACAGAGAGUGUUCUUAUAUGUUUAAGCUUUCUGUACCGUAUGCUGAGAAUUUUGAAUUUUUCUUCUUCUUUUUUUUUUCUUGUUUGGGUUCAAGUCCCAUAAUUAUUUGGUUAAUCUAACUAUAUGUCACUGUUUAUCUCACCGUUUGUAAGCUAAUUGUGAUCAUGCGAGUUAUAAUAUAUGUCUACGUGAUGAACUUAUUACAAGAAAAAAGAAGAAGAAGAAGAAGAAAAGCUAUUUAUUUGAUGAACAUUGUUGAUAUAAAGUCCUCAAGUACCUCAAGUAAUUCUCUCAAAAGAAUGUAUACUAAAGGACUUCAUCAGAAGUUUCAUUUCAGCUACUUGAUCAGUAACUUAUAGUAACAAUCAGUAGCUUUAUUAAAAAUUUAGAAUGAAAAAGUUACAUUAGUUUAAUCUGAUCAAGUUUUAAAAGCAUCAGCAACUUCCAGAAAUUAAAUGGACUUUUUCCCUUUCUCCUUUUCUGUUUGAGUUGGAUUGUAAUUGAGUAAAAGAAUUAUCACCUUCAAUUGGUGGUGGCCAAGCAAAGCUACAUGCACCUUCAAGCAAAGAAUAUGAACAUCACAUCAAACAGAAAGGUGAAGCAAUUGCUUUGUAAUUGCCCACAAAUUAAGCAAAGAGUAAACAACAAAUUUUUUGGCAAUAUCAUGUGGUUGCUGGCCUUAUCUUCAUAUAAUUGGGAUCAUUGCAAAUCCUUAACAGUUCAUCUCAAACUUUUAGAGGGAAAAGAAAAAGUCCAAAAUGGUACUGUCAGUUGUUCAAACACCAGAAGAAAUAUCAUCUAGUGCAAUUAGCUCGGUCUUUGCCUCCAGAUAUGUUCAAGACCCCCUGCCAAGGUUCUAUUUCAACAAUCAUGUUAUAUGUAUUUUGCUCUAUUUUUAUGGGUUUUUUUUUUUACAUUAAUAUCAUCUAUUGGAAGGUUGUAUUUUACCUCUUGAGAGUAUUUAGUACCAGUUUUGUUUGUUGAGUGUUACUUAUUUAUUAAUUUUGAAUUACUUGCUCUUGCUUAAUUUUGUCUUCUCUCUUUUAUUUUUUCUUUUUUUGGUAAGGAACAAAGCAAAUGAUUGUUGUUGUUGCUAUUUCAUUGGCACUAAUAAAAGUGCCGUUUUAUCUGUUUUCAGGUAUAGAAUGCCUGAAAACACUAUUCCAAAAGAAGUUGCUUAUCAGAUUAUCCACGAUGAGCUCCAAUUAGAUGGGAAUCCAAGGCUUAAUUUAGCCUCGUUUGUUACAACUUGGAUGGAACCAGAAUGUGACAACUUAAUGAUAGAAUCCAUGAACAAGAACUAUGUAGACAUGGACGAAUACCCAAUUACCACAGAGCUACAGGUAAAUUCUUCAUCAUAUUAUACAUGGCAUGUAAGUUGAUAACAAAAAGAUAUAUGUAUAUAGAAGCACAUAAAAUAGCUACACAUGUCAUGGGCACACUAUUUUUUUUUUUUUUUUGAAUUUCGUUUUGGGGCCUUGCAAAGUUGGUUACCAUAGAUAUAUAUAAGUUGGUCCAUAUUUUCUUUGUCAAAGUUAGAUAUAUUUUUUUUUAUAAAAUCAAAAAUAUUUUUAAAUUAUUCUUUUGGAUUAUUAGAUUUAAAUUGGAAUUUUUGUGUGAAAUUUAUGCGCAAAUGUUAUUGAGGGUACACCAAAAUUCUUGUUUAAGUGAUUUUGUGAAAAGAGUAAAUAUAGCCUUUUUGAGUCAAUUGAGUGUAUUUGCUAUUCAAUUUUUUUUCUUUUAUUUAAAAUUUGUACUUUGUUAUUCUUUCCGAAUUCCUUUUUUGCAUAAUUUUUUUUUCUAGUACAGAAGGGGUGGGAUUAAAGAAGCGUGGACGGGGACGGAUUAAUUUGAAUCUUUCCAAAUUCUUAGUCAGCAUGAACUACGUUUUGCAGAAUCGGUGCGUGAACAUAAUUGCAAACCUUCUAAAUGCUCCGUUGGCUUCAAACAAACAAGCAAUUGGAGUUGGAACAGUUGGGUCUUCAGAAGCAAUUAUGUUGGCAGGAUUGGCAUUCAAGAAAAAAUGGCAGAACAAAAGGAAAGAAGAAGGAAAGCCUUUUGACAAGCCUAAUAUUGUUACUGGAGCAAAUGUGCAGGUAUCAUUCAAGUGUCUCAUUAUGUUUUCAGCAGAAGAUUAUAGGUUGGAUUGGACUAAUGGGAUUUUUUUUUUUUGGUAAAAAAUUAUUACAAGCACAUUUAUAUUUCAAAUCAUAAGAAUAUUUUGAAUAUAUCAUUGAUUGGAUUUGCAGAUAGAUAUCACUAAUUUUUUUUAUUGUCAUAUACCAUUUAUUAAAAGUCGAUUUUUUCGACCGAGCAUCCGUAGACAUUUUUGAUUGGAAAUCAAUAAUUAUUGUGGAUGUCAAUUAUAUUUAUAUAGUAGUAUGUAUUUUUCUUUAGUCCUUUAGUGUAUAAGAUCAUGCUUUUGGACAGGUUUGCUGGGAAAAAUUUGCAAGAUACUUUGAGGUGGAGUUGAAAGAAGUAAAACUAAGUGAAGGUUAUUAUGUGAUGGAUCCAAAGAAAGCAGUAGAGAUGGUGGAUGAAAACACAAUUUGUGUAGCAGCCAUUCUUGGAUCCACCUUGACAGGAGAAUUUGAAGAUGUCAAGCUUUUGAAUGAUCUCUUAGCAGAAAAGAACAAGAGGACAGGGUAACAAAUAAUUAACCAUCUGUUUUCUGAUUUGACCAUAUUUUUUGCUGCUAACUUGGCAUGUGUUUCAAUUUAAAGAAAAAAAAAAAAAGAAAGAAAAUCUCAGCAUGUGUUUGACAAAAUAUUUUUGUUUCAAUUUUUUUUAAAAAUUUCUUUUCCUUUUCUGAUGACUUUUCUUGCAGAUGGGAUACGCCAAUUCAUGUAGAUGCAGCUAGUGGGGGAUUUGUGGCACCAUUUAUAUACCCAGAAUUGGAAUGGGAUUUUAGGUUGCCAUUGGUUAAAAGCAUCAAUGUAAGUGGACACAAGUAUGGCCUUGUCUAUGCUGGGAUUGGUUGGGUUAUUUGGAGGAGCAAUGAAGACUUACCAGAAGAACUUGUUUUCCACAUAAAUUAUCUUGGAACUGAUCAACCAACCUUCACCCUCAAUUUCUCCAAAGGUACAUGUACUAGAGAGACAUGAUUAAGAUAGAUGACUCAAAGAAAAAUCACAAUAAGCACGGAAAAAUGUUAAUCGUACUCUCACUAUCAUUUUUAUCAUAUAAUUUUUAUGUAUUAGAUUGUAUGAUAAAACAAAUGAUGAUGAGAGUGCGAUCAAUAGAAAAUAGAGUGCGAUUAACAUUUCUUUAAGCACGAACAAAGAUUUAUUCGAGAUGUCAAUAUUCUAGUGACCACAUAAUUAAUGAAUUAUUUCCAACUUAUACAUAUAUGGGCUAAACGGCUAAUUGUUUUGGUUCUUCUUUCAACUCUUAAAUCUAGUAAAUCUCUCCUAACUGAAUAACUUGGGAUUUGCAGGAUCCAGUCAGAUUGUAGCGCAAUAUUAUCAAUUCCUGCGCAUGGGGUUUGAGGUAAACUAGGCACUGAACAUUUUUUGUUACUCCACCUUAUUUUGGUUACUUAUAUAACAGGGUUUGAGAUGAGUACAAUUGUCCUUAGAUGCAAUUAGUGCGGUUAUUAUACUUUUUUUUUUAUGAUUUGAUAUAUAUAUUUACAUAACUUUAUUGUAUUUUUUGAUUUGGUUUAUACUCGCAUAACUUUAUUAUAUGAUCGUGAAAUACAAUAAAAUUAUGCGAACGCACACCAAAUCAUGAAAAAUAAAAUAAAAUAACUGCACGAACCGCGCCUAAGGCCAACUGUGCCUAUCUCAAACUCACUUAUAUGUAUAAAACUAAAGAAGCUAAGUUGGAAUAAGCUCUGCAAAAUUUUGCAUUUUUGAUAAUCAAGGAAAAUUUUCCUUUAUUUUCCUUUGUUUGUUUUGAGAAACAUCAAAAUUUGUGUCUUAAUUCUGUAAAAAUCAUCAGGCGAUGAUUAUCAUCAUAAUUUCGAAUUUGAUACUUUAUUAUUAUAAGGUAAAUGACACCAAUGGUUAUUGAACUUUUGCUCAUCUUGCUAUAUAUAUAGUAUCUCAACUUUUUAAAGUGCCCAUUAAGUCCCUCAAAAGUAAAUAUUGAUUACAUAAAUAAAUGAAAUCCUUAAGUGUGGUGUAUUGGAUUCUAAAUGAACUCAAUUUCUUGAAAUUCUGCUGAUAAAACAUGAACUCAAAAUUUCACACAUUUUGACAAAUUGGUGCAGGGCUACAAAAGAGUGAUCAGAAAUUGCAUGGAAAAUGCGAAACUUCUUGUAGAUGGUCUAAAACAAACAGGUCGUUUUGACAUUAUCUCAAAGGAAAGAGGACUACCACUUGUUGCCUUCGGAUUCAAAGACACAAACAAAAGCUUGGCCUUUGAAUUAUCAAAAGCCUUGAGACACCAUGGAUGGAUUGUUCCAGCUUACACAAUGCCUGCAAAUGUUGAACACAUGGCUGUCCUCAGGGUUGUGGUUCGUGAGGAUUUGGGAAGACAACUUGUUGAGAAGUUAGUUUCACAUAUAAAUGGUGCAUUACUGGAGCUCGAUGAAACAGCAGAUAUUGUUUCGAAGAUUUUAUUUACUGUAGAAGUUAAGUCAAGUGAUGAAGAUCAGCAUCACGAGUCUAGACAUGAUCAUGAGGGCUCGUUGCAUCUACCAACGACUUCAAUACAUUGGAAGCAAGAUAAACAUGACAGGAUUCAAAAAAAAGUACAUAUAAGUGGUGGGAAAACCAAGGGUGUGUGUUAAAUUUCAUCUCAUGAAUAAGUCUUUUGUGAAAGAUUGGAUGUGUAACAUGGGGUGAUCACCACAUGUGUAAUUCAUUAGAUAAAUCCAAAAGAGAUUGUAAAUUUGUUUGUGCUUAUUUUAAAAUUAAUUUACUUCUUCGAAUUACUGUGCCUAUGACAUUGAUAACUUGAUACUGAAAAAUCAUCUUUGAAUACUAAACAUAUUGACAGAAACUAGACCCCAGAAGCCAACACACUUAAUGAAGAAAGGGUUCUCAAAAUCAUCCAUCCUGUCACCUAAAAAUCAGCCAGAAAUUUGGCUUCCAAAUGGAUCCAGGACAAACUUUCAGUCAUCUUUACAAAUUUGCUAGAAAUUUUUCAAAGAGUCAAUCAGGCUUUCAAGCUCAUUAGUUUGAAGUUUUAGAUUCUUGAGCCUGAGAGUGGCAAGUUAAUAUUCGUAAACCUCAAAGUGAUGACACCUAAGCCUUUUUCCUAGGGUUUUUUUGAAAACCAUAGGAAUAUUAUUAGGGUAGAAGUUAGAAAGGACAGAAAAUUGGAGUACUCUUGCGCCAUAUCUAGAUCAUCUUGGCAUGGUCCAAGCUAGCCCAGCCUAUUCGCAUAUUAGGCUCGAUUUUAAGGAGGACAAUCAUCAUCAAACUAUAGGCAUCUCACUAGACAAUCAGAAAAUUGUACACUCAAAUAUUAGUUUCGAUCUUCGGAAGUUGGUGGAUCAUCCAGUAUUCUUUAUCCGAUGAUAAAAAUUAUUGGAGAAGAGGGUACAUGUUAGAGGACUGGGUUCAAAGAGUAAUCAACAAAGACAACUGUGUAUCAUUACAUAUACCUUUCUCAAAACCUUUUAGGAACUGCUGUAUUUAGGCUUUGUUCUCGUAGCUCUUUACUCUCAAGAACUGUGGAAUAAUUGUUUCUAAUAAUGAGGAAUCAUUUAUCUGGUGUAAAGGUUAUGGCUAUUGCUACUCUACCCUCCGAGGAUGACGCCAAAGAGGAAGAAAGCGUAGAUGCAAGGCAUAAAGGGAAAAAAUGAAAGAAUUAAUUUUUUAUAUACAGACAGUUUAUACAUUUUCAUCAGUAGAUACAUGAUACAUAAUUUGAAUUUAAAUUUGAAAUUCAAAUUUUACAAAUGUGUGGUGUAGAUACUGUCAGUCAGUGUAUAUAAACUUUACUUAAAAAGAAAACUGCACAUCAAGGAUUUUGGUGAAACAUGCAAGAGUCAUAAGAGGGAGUGAAUCAUUUAUGGUAUGAUAUUUUGAAGCAAACAAUAAAGUCAAAAUCACAUGUGAUUCAUAAUUUGAAUAGUGGAUAGCUUUAUUUUGUAGCCCUCACAGGGCAGCUCGUUUGGUCACGGUUGCUUCCUUAAAGCCGUUGUCCAGCCUCCCGCAAGGGUUCGAGUCCCGUGGUUAACGUGUUCGGGGGGAUGGAGCCUCUCCUCCCGGGCCGGAGUGGGAUUAGUCGGGCCCCGUAAGAAUUGACCCGGACACCCACUCCGUCAGAAAAAAAAAAAAAAAAAGAUAGCUUUAUUUUGUAGCUUAGUAUUCUAGGAGUUACGUACCAAGGUAUCAUGCCAUUAAAUAUUCCAGUUCUUGACUAGUGGAGUGGAGUAUAUACAUGAAAUUCAGCUUUGAACAUGAAUAAAGCUUAGGAAUCUUAAUUAUAUACAAUAGAAUGCAAUUAUUAAUUGUCCAGAUAUCACGCCUCCUGACCAAAAUAGUCGUGUAUUGGCUAUUCUUGACUACAAGAUUUAAACUGUAUCAACCAAAUUAAUUAAUUAAUAUUUCACAUUCUGCUUCAUCAGUAGCUCUAAUUUCUGCAAUUCCCUCAUGAACUUUCAGGCAUGGUUACUCUACAAAGACGGCAGAUUUCAGGAGUUGGUCGAUGACCAUGUGAGUAAAUCUUGUUAUCUGUCCGAAGUUAUUAGAUCAAUUCAUGUAGGACUACUCUGUGUACAACAAUUUCCAGACGACAGGCCAAGCAUGUCAUCCGUGGUUUUGAUGUUGGCUAGUGAUAGAGCAUUACCUUUCCCUAAAGAGCCUGGCUAUUUCACUCAAAGAAAUUUGUUUUUUGAACCUGAGAAGAGUUUAUCAAGCACGAAAGCAGAUAGUUCUAGCAAUCAACUCACCGUCACGAUGUUAGAUGCUCGAUAGUUUUGAGUAAAUCUCUUGAUCCUCUUCUUUGUACAUGUUAACUUGAUGAUCUCAUAAUACAUAGUUGUUCUCAAGUUAAUCUUUUUGCUUAAUGAGAUAGUAUUUCGUUACGUUUUCUUUUAUUGUAGUACCUAAGAUGUGCUAGAAACUGGUAUCCAAUUCAACAACAUGAGCAGAAACAGCAGAAUUUUGAUUAGCCAAACCUUGGGCAUACAAGAGUAUAGCCAAGGUAAAAGCAAAUGCCAGAUUAAUCAUUUUCAAUGACUGGAGGGAUUAUAUGGACGUAGAGGCUUGAAGCAACUAAAAAAGGGCAUGUCUCAUGCACUGCAUCUCAUUACAGAGUUAGCACAAGAUGUUAUCAGCCAAGAGUUAAUCACAGCAUUGAUAAAAGAGACCCUUGAAAACCGAAAGCUGACGAAGGAGCCAAAAAGUGCAAUUAGAACAGGCCCUAACACGUUUGCCAUGACAUGCUCUAUUCAGUGAAUACUGCAUCAAAACAAUGCCCAUGAGUUAAUCACAGCAUUGAUAAUCAGCCAAGAGAUAAUCACGGCAUUGAUAAAAGAAAUCCUUGAAAACAGAAAUCUGAAGAAGGAGCCAAAACAUGCAACUAGAACAGGCCCUAACACGUUUGCCAUGACAUGCUCUAUUCAUUGAAUACUGCAUCAAAACAAUGCCCAUGAUUUGGCAGAAUCCUAGUUUCCCAAGAAUUGCAUGAUCAUAGAGUUCGGAACAAAACACUCAAACAAAAUAAAUAUACAUCCAGCAAAAAAAAAUGAGACCUUGUUAGAAUUACAUCCAGGAAAGAGCCUAAGAACAGCAAACAACCACCGUUAGAAUGGCCCAUCUAUAAAUUCUUCGGAUAUUAUAUAUGACUAGCUAUUGAGGCACAUCUGAUGUAUGUGCAACUCGUCAAGAAUUAUAAUUCAAGAAAAUUUUAUUAUCUCUUUUGGAUACCAUAUUUAUAAUUGUAAUCCAAUAAACUUUUUCCACAUCAUUCAAAAAUUUGAACUCCUAAAAUCAUCUAAGAGUUGAUAUCUCGUUUCACGUAUCGAACGGUGAAUUGAUACUCAUAGGUACGGUACCUAAAAGGUACCGUAAAACUCCCCUAUAACUAAUUAACUAUUUAUACGAAAAAGCAGAAUGUGGAAGGCAACAUAAAAUUUUGUUGGAAACACCCAAGCAAAUGGAGUUGAGCAAUUUUAAGGCCUGCUUCCAAAACAAAUGGACUCUUAGAGCAACUUAACCUAGUUACAUGCUUCCUUUAUCGAGUGUUGUAAACUAUACGUUUCAUUCAGAUAGGAAAUUUCAACUACCAUUCUGAUCUCGAAAGUUAUCCAAACCAGUGUGAUUUGUGGUAGGACUCGUUACGACUAUACACAAGAAUUGCUUAACAAAAACAACUGACUUGUGGAUGUUGCAUGUGAUGAACACAAAUUAAGGAUGGAUAAAGCAUUUCAUCAAAUACAUGAAAGACCCUUUGCAAUCAAACUUAGUUCUUUCAGCAGAUUAUCUAUUCUAACAAUGACAAAACUGAAUUAAAAAGGACUUACUUUAUCUUCAGAAACUUAAAAGAGUUUGCAGCCUUCCGAAAAACACAAAGUAGAUGUAAAAUACGGAACAAAAAAAGAAAAAGGAAAAAUGAAAAGUUAGAAAGAAAACAAAACAUUUUUUGAAGUUUGCGAGUUUAAAUACCUUUCCUGACACUUGCAUAAGGUCAUUGAUAAGGUGUUCGAGUUCUUGCACAAAUUGUCGAAAAUUCUGGUUGGAGAAGUAAUUCAAAGGCAAAUUGAUGUUGGUAGAGAAAUCUCACAAUGAAAAAAAAUUACAGUUUAGAUGGGUCGUUUGGGAUUGAGGUGGCUUAUAAAAAAUUAUUUAAUCGAUAGAUAGAGCUUUGAAACAAAGUACUCAAAUCCUUAAUCAUAUUGCUUGAGUGCAUACUUGCAUAACUAUUUUUCCUAUUUGAUAAUGUACAAAUCCUGGAUUCUUAAAAUAUAUUUACCUCUCAAUUUAGUUCAAAAUUUAUAAUAAAAUUGUUAAAGUUAAUUUUUUUAUUUUUUUGAAUAUAAAAGUUACUCUAAAAGCGCCAAUUUUGAACAUAUGUCGGAAGUGCUCCAUUGACCAAAAGUUUUAUUCCUAAAUUCAAACAACUUUGCCAAUCAAACAUGCUAAAAGUGCUUUUCUCUUGCAAAAUCACUUUUUUAGUAAGUGUCCCACACCCAAAAUGGAGCGUUAAUAGGGAUAUUAAUUACAAGACCAUAAGAUCUUUGGUCCAACAACAUUUGUAUGAUGAAUGAUGACUCCAUUUGAGCUCCAAAAGAAAUAAUAAAAUAAAAUAAGUGUAUGUAAACAGUUGAGUUUACAAACAUAAAGAAUUGAAAAAGCGGAUUCAAGUUUACCAAAAACAGGAUUAUUCGUUAUUAUAGAGAUGUGGAUUUAGUCUAUCCGUAAAUAAAGGGGUGGACUAAAUCCACAUUUCUACGGCCCAAAUUCACACCCCUAAUACAUUAAUGAUUCGUAUCAUGAGUAUUGAUAAUUUGUAUUAUUAGUAUUAAAAAUUAUAUUGAGUAUGGAUUUAGGUGGCAGAGUUGAGGAUUUAAUGUCACCCAUUUGUUUUAAUCUAAAACUUUGGGCCUGUUUGGAAUCUGAGUUUUUUGAGAGUUUGUCUAAAACUUUACUGUAGUGCACUAUAGAAGUUUUUGAAAAAAAUUUGUAGAAGUUUUUGUAAGGUAAAAAAUUUUGUAGAAAUUUUUGUAAGGUGAAAAACUUUUUUUUUCCUUUUUUUUUCUCUUUCUUCUUUUCUUUCUCUUUCUUUUUCUCUUUCUCUUUCUCUUUCUUUUUCUUUUUCUUUCUUUCCUUUUUCUUUUCUUUCCUCUCUUCUUCUUCUUCUUCCUUCCCCCUCCCUCUUCCCCGUUACCUCCGCCACCCCCAGCAACAACUCCACCAAUGCCACCUCCCGCCACCCCUCUCCUCCCUUUCCCCUUCUACUCCCCUCUACCCCACCACCCCUCCCCCACCACCCCCUCUGCCCCGCCACCCCCUCUGCCCCAUCACCCCCUCCCUCACCCCUGCAAAAGCUCCCCCUCCCUCUCCCUCUGCCCGCAACCCCCUUUCCCCACCCCUGCAAAAGCUUCCCCGCCACCCCUCCCUCUCCCUCUCCCUCUGCCGCCACCUGAGUUUUGCAGCAAUAGAAAUGAUUUUUUUUCCAAUGUUCCAUCUCCCUCUCCUCUCCUUAUCUUGCCGGCAGAAUAAGCAGCAACAGCCGAGUGUAAUUUUUUUUUUUUUGCAAUUUUCCUUCUUCCCAAGCUGCGGGAGGGAAGGUGGCGGGGAAAGGCAGAGGGAAAGAGGGGAGGGAGAAAGAAAAAAAGAAAAAGAGAUUUUGGAAACCAACAUAUCGGUCAAAGGGGGAGGGGAGGGAGAGAAAAAAUAAAGAGGAAGGUCGGCAAAAGUUGGCCGGAAUAGUUACCGGCGCCGGAAGCGGUGGUGGAGUGGUACCCGGUUGGGUGGGGGAGGAAAAAGAAGAAAAGUUGAAGGGAAAGUUUUUUGUGUAUUAUUUUGAAGUGUGUAAGUAAAAAACUUGGGGUUCCUGUAGCAAAAGUUGUUAAAAAACUAGUAGCUAAAAAACUUGGCCAAAAACUUCACUUCCAAACAAGCCCUUUGUCUCGUUACACUAGACUUACGAACAACACGAGCAUUCAACAACAAAGGAAAGCACAAAUUUUACUUUUUAUUACCGGUACUCAUUCGUUCAACUCUGUGAAAGACAAUAACAAGCCGUAGGUGUACGUCCAAUUUAUUUUAACGUUCGAUUGCAUAACGUUAGAUUACUUAGAUUGAUAGGUGUACGUCCAAAUAUAUAUACUUUCUAAACUUUAGUAAACUAUCUACGGAGCCUUUAAACUAUCGUAAUUAUCUUAAAUUGGACUCUCAUUUAUUUUAAAUUAUAAAGUAGCCCGUCAAUAAUAAAAAUAGUCAAAUUUUAAUUAAUGCUUCAAUAUAUUUUCAUUGUUGUAUUAGUCCAAUUUGCCCUCAUACCCAUCCAUUUUAUCGGCGGAGAUGGACUGAAGGAUCGAAAUUUGACACUUUUUUAUUAUUGAAGAGCUAAUUUAAGACUUAAAAUAAAUAAGGGACCAAUAUAAGACAAUUUAGCUUAAAAAGUCCUUAGAUAAUUUGCCCAGUCUCGUGUGCAUGAAAUAGAAAAUAUAACCUCAUUUGUACACACUUACACUUUUCCAUUUCUUUCUUCUACUUCUUCAGCAUGCCGAGAAGUACUUAUUAUUCACACGGUUCAGUAAGAACAUAUGAGACAUCUCAAGGCUCAAGGCUCAAGUCUCUAGAGUUAUUCCUUAAAAGUUUUUCAAAAGAAAAUUCUAUGUACAGGCGACCAUCUCAAUGUUUCAAACUGCAAAUGAUUUGUCGUUUAACCAAAACGAAGAAAAAGCACACAUCUAACAAAAAAAAAAAAAAAGAUGACUUAGAAUCAUGGUACAAGCAAGAAAUAGUAGCAAUUGUCAUUCAGGCUUUGUGGUUGUCAAAUUGAGCUUGAGUUUAGAUAUAGGUAACAUUUUGCUUUAAUUUUUUUAAUGAUUCUUUGAUAUUAUAGUUGAUAUUAGAUAGAGAAACAUUAUAAAUUUCUUUUCAAACUUUUGAAGAGAAAUUUUCUAGUUGUAUGAACUUUUAAUUGACAUCUGAAAUUUUAGCAAAAAAAUCCUAAUUUUUUUCUUGAUUUUGGGAUUUUAUGUGGAAAUGCAUUAGAAUUUCCUGCAUAAGAGUUAAGAUCAAUGAAGGAAGGAAGAGUUCAUAAGAAAAUCAUAACCAACGUGGCUCCCUCAACUAGUUGUUUUGCACUAGGCGCAAGGAUGGAUUUUGUGGGCAAGUCGGAUGGGAGAGCAUUACUAUUUGCAGAGAUUGUACAGCAAUUACAGCUACUAGGGAGGAUGACUGUAGAACAAGAUGGAACUCCACAUUUGAGACGCUUAGUUGCUCUUUGAGAUUCAGAGAUGUUUUUUCGAGAUUUUGUGACAGAGAAUCACAUUAUGAAAGUUGUCCCUCUAUGGAAGAUUGGAAGAAGGUAGAGAAAAUGUGUUUUGUUUUGGAGAGCUUUUGGGCAGCCAGACAAAUCAUAUCAGGGAGUGACUAUCCUACUUCUAAUUUAUUCCUUCAAGAGGUCCCAAAGAUAAAGAUUGUUUUGGACACUUGAGCAAAUUCUGAAAAUGAAUUUUACAGGCUAUGGUUUGAAAAAUGAAAUUGAAGUUUGAUAAAUAUCGGGGAGAAUGCAACAUGCUGCUAUCAAUCAUGGCUAAUCUUGACCUGAGGCAAAAAAUGGCAGCUAUAGAGUUCAGCUUUCUAGGACAUAUCCUGCUCAUGAAACCCAAAGGAAUAUUGCAAGUGUUAAAAGGACGGUGUUAGAUCUACAUAAAGAAUAUGUGGCUGCCAAUAAAGACGGAAAGUACAUGAAGCACAAGCUGGUAGUUUUGGUAACCAAGAUGGACUAGAGGCGUCCUCAUCUAGAUGGGCUGACUUCAAUGAUUAUUUGAAGGAAGUUGAAACAAUUGAGCCUCAAAAGUUAGAAUCAGUGGACUACUUGGACAAGUCUCACCACAAGGCUGGACCAAAACCAAAAGAAUUUGAUUGCCUGACCUAGUGAAAACGAAAUAGGAUGACAUAUCGUAUUUUGUCCUAAAUUUUUUUUUUUUUUUUUGUCAUCACUGUGGGUAUCCAGGUCUACACCCGACUAAUCUCACAGCGCUCCAGCAGAGCGGCCCGACCGAUGUUGAAGAAGAUAACAACUGGGUUGCUGCCCGGGAUCGAACUCAGGUGGAACUCACCUAAGGAGUCUACUUCCACCAGCAGACCAACCCAGCGCGGGCUCCUAUUUUGUCCUAAAUGGCUGCUGACAUUUUGGCGAUUCCUGUAAGUAUAAUAGCUUCUUUAGAGGCCACAUUUAGUCCCGGGACAAGAGUCAUAGAUGCUUAUCACGGCUUCGCUAUCUCCAAAAACUAUUCAAGCCUUGAUAUGCGGGGUUGAUUGAUGUAGAAAUAUGUGUGGAAUAAAAAAGAAAGCAAAAGCAAGUUUCACCUUUUAUUUAAACAAGUUAUUCAAUGUUGAACUAUAUGUUGUUCAUUAAUGAUGUAUUUACAUGUUCUUUUUUCUUUUUUCUUUUUUUGGCAGAAUAUGAAAACUCCCAAAGAAAUUGCGAUUCCUAUUCCCUAUUGAUGCAACCUUCAUGUGCUCUAGGUCUAGUUUUUAUUUCUUGUUGAUAUUUUAAUACCAUUUGAUUUGUAAUGCGCUUGUGCUCAUUCCUAUUUUCUUGCAUUUAUUUACUCAUUCACAACUUUUAAAGUUGUCUUAAGGACGGAGAGGUCUAAAAGAAUGGCUAAUACAGUCCUCAGAUAUUUAACUUUAGAACUGUUAGGAAAAAGUCUGCUUUUGUGCUCUGAUUUGGUUAUGAAUUGUGACUGCUGCUGGGACAAAAAGAUUAAUAACUUCUAGGACUACUCUUUUCUAAUUGGUUGCUUUUCGUGUACGAUGGGUAUUGGUACUAGAAUGUAGAUGGGCUGACAGCCCAGUUAAAAGAUGUUUUACUUGUCAAAUUGAAAUAUUGAAUAUGUUGAUGACUGAGUAGCUUGCUGGGUGUUCUAGUAACAAUCCUGUUUUCUUUGUUUUUUAUUUUUUCUUUUGCAAUAUUCUAUUUAAGUUUUUGCUAGCGCGGUGAGUUAUUAGUGUUAAAAGAAAGGUCUACUUGGAUUGCUUGUAGUUAGUCACCCAUGUUGUUGGAAAUUUCAUUUUUGGGAGGUAAAUAAGAAAAAGAUGUUGCUAGAAAAUUCUAAUAAAAUUCAAUACAUUAAGUUCGAGUUUGAGUUCAAUUAGACUCAAGUUUGCUCAAUUAGUCUCACGUUUGUCCAAACGAGUCGAAUUUGAGCAUAUCAGAAACCUUAGCGAGUCGAACUCGAUCUAUAGAAUUUCAAAUUCGAUCAAGUCGAACUUGAUUUCGAAUAGUACUAUAUUAAGUCCAGCUCAAACAUGACACUAUUUAAGAUCAACUCGUUUCGUUUAUACCCCUAUAUAGAACGCUUACCCUUACAUAGAACGCUUAUCAAGUCAAGUGUUGAAAUAUCUUAAGCAUUGAAUUUGGCAUAUACACAAAUAUUUUGUUCUUACAGUAUCAAUCCAACUUUCUACCUGCACGUUCUUUACUCUACUACAUCGAUCCCACACUUAAAAACUUUUCACAAAGUAAAAAGCCAGUAAUUUUUCUCUGGAUAAAAUGGAAAGUUUUUCUUCCUUCAUUCCAAAAUUUAUCUUUCUUGGCCAGUCCCAUUUCAACAAGGUAUAUCUAUGAUGUGUGUGGGCUUAGAAAAUUCAAUUACCCAACAAAAACCCCAAUGACCAGUGGGCUAGGCUAGGAAGUUCUAUUUGAUUUGGCUUUCCAUUUUUUUUUUUUUUGUGGUUCACACUUUUUAUUCUCAAAAUUAUUUCGCAUUAUUUCAUUUUAAUCUCAAUACUAAUUAUUUUCCCCAGCCAUAACUAUUUUCAAACCGACCUUUCUUUGUCUUUGUAUAUAUAUAUAGAGCUCCGCAUUUUGGGUACAUUUCCACAAACAAGCCUUCUGCUGCCGCGUACAUCUCAAGCUUUCCAUUCUCUCUACGGUGGUAUCUCUCAAGCCCUAAUUUUUGCCCCAGUUGUCUCUGUGUUUUCCUACCUGAAUUAUGCGAUUUUUUUGUUUGAUUUGUUCAAUUUUUUCCGUCUUUUGUCCUGUUGAUAAUCGUUUGACUGGUGUAGUUCUAGAUCUACAAAUUUUAUCAUGACACGCUGAUGAUUUGUCGGUUCUCUGCAGAUAAUUUUAUUGGGCAUUUUGUCGACGAUUUUAGAGCUUGAUUGUUGCUUAUUUAUUGAUUUGUGUAUGUUUUUGUAUGUGAAUUUGUUUGGAUAGGUUCUCUAUCUUCGUAAAUCAGGCGUUUAAAUGUUUGCCAGGUAAAUUUGGAGUCAUAUGUCUUGUUCUGUUUCUGUUUCCUUUUUGUUUAAGUAAGAUUUUGUACAUGUUUGUGGGCAAUCAUGUUUAUAUAGGUUAAUUGGCCUAGCUUAGUUUAGGAUAUUGGGGAAGAAAUAAAAAGUGAACAUUUUGAAGUUUUGCGGGAGAAGGAAAUGAGGAGAUGCUUUAUUGAGUUCUUUCCCCGUCGUGCGUUCAAGAAAAAAAUAAAAAGGUUUUGGAUUUAUGUCUUUUGAUUUUGCUCCUCAACAUCUGUGAGGAAGUUUUGGACCCUCCAGAAUCUCUGAGGGGGAAGUAGUUAAAUUGUUCAAUCUCUUCAUUUUUUUCACAAAUUCCUCGUAGCUUUUCUUGCCAAUUACGGCAGACAAAAUAUAAAAGUGAACCUCUUGCUGCUUAUCCUUUUCACUGUUUGAGACAUGAGAUUCUAUGGUGUUUAGAACAUGAUUGCAUUUCAGACUUCAGAUGUGACCUAUGGGAUGGCUUCUUUUCAUAUCAUAAAGAAAUUCUUCAAAUAGCUGAUUUUUCAUAUAGCUGAUUUUUGUUUUGUUUUGGUACUUAAUCAAGUGAGAAAUAUCCUGUUCUGAUGUAUGUUUUUUGUUGUAUUUGCAGCGUACUGAGUCAAUCUGCGAUGGCUGAUGCUCAUGAAAUUGAUAAGAAUAUUGAGAUAUGGAAGAUUAAGAAACUCAUAAAAGCACUUGAGGCAGCUCGAGGUAAUGGAACGAGCAUGAUUUCUCUUAUUAUGCCUCCACGUGAUCAAAUAUCCGAGUCACUAAGAUGCUUGGAGAUGAAUUCGGAACUGCAUCUAACAUUAAAAGUAGGGUGAACCGACAAUCUGUUCUGGCUGCGAUUACAUCUGCUCAGCAAAGACUAAAACUUUACAAUAAAGUACCACCCAAUGGGCUUGUGCUUUACACUGGAACUAUCGUGACUGACGAUGGGAAGGAGAAGAAGGUCACCAUUGAUUUUGAGCCUUUUAGACCUAUCAAUGCCUCUUUGUAUCUCUGUGACAACAAGUUCCAUACAGAAGCGCUGAAUGAACUUCUAGAAUCUGAUGACAAGUUUGGCUUCAUUGUUAUGGAUGGUAAUGGGACACUCUUUGGAACUUUGAGUGGCAAUACAAGGGAGGUCCUUCACAAGUUUAGCGUUGACCUCCCCAAGAAGCAUGGAAGAGGAGGGCAGUCAGCUCUCCGUUUUGCUCGUCUUCGAAUGGAGAAGCGCCAUAACUAUGUCAGGAAGACUGCAGAACUGGCUACCAGUUCUAUAUAAAUCCGUCAACAAGUCAGCCCAAUGUCUCGGGACUAAUUCUUGCUGGAUCAGCUGACUUUAAGACCGAACUUAGUCAGUCUGACAUGUUUGAUCCCCGUCUUCAGGCAAAAAUUUUGAAUGUGGUGGACGUCUCUUAUGGUGGUGAAAAUGGUUUUAAUCAGGCAAUUGAGUUGUCAUCUGAAAUCUUGUCCAAUGUCAAGUUUAUCCAGGAGAAGCGUUUGAUAGGCAAAUAUUUCGAGGAGAUAAGUCAGGAUACUGGGAAGUACGUUUUUGGUGUGGAUGACACAUUAAAAGUUCUUGAGAUGGGUGCUGUUGAGACUCUCAUUGUGUGGGAAAACCUGGAUGUGACUAGAUAUACUCUAAAGAAUAGUUCCACAGGUGAAGUUCUUGUUAAGCACUUUAAUAAGGAGCAAGAGGCUGAUCAGAACAACUUUAGGGACCCAGCUAGUAAUUCUGACCUGGAGGUUGAGGAUAAGAUCUCCUUGCUUGAGUGGUUUGCUAAUGAGUAUAAACGGUUUGGCUGCAGUCUGGAGUUCGUCACCAACAAGUCACAAGAGGGAUCUCAGUUUUGUAGAGGUUUUGGAGGAAUUGGAGGGAUCUUGCGAUACCAGCUUGAUGUUCGAGCUUUUGAUGACCUGUCUGAUGAAGGAGAAGUUUACGAUGAUUCUGAAUAGCAAUCAAUUAAGUUCUUAAAUGCUGGUGCAGGGAGGCAGCACCAAGCCUGCACCAGUGCGCGAGGGCUCGCGCAGGUUCAUUCGGAUAUGGUGCUAGUGCCUGAAAGAUUUCAAGGAGUUAUAUAAAGGUCAAUUGGCAUUUCUUUUUCCUACCGCUCAUGUUCCAUCUUUUGCAGAUACUAUUAACAUUACUAAUUGUUGUUGAUGCUAAUCUUUGCUGUUUUGAACAUUAGUUAGCUUUAUGUGUUUUGCAUGUUUUGAUUAAUGGACAGAUAUGAAGUAUCAGGUGAAAAGAAUUUACCAGUCCCUCCCACGUUUCUACUGGGAGGUGAUACGAAGGUUGCACUGCUUGAUAAUCAACUUGCUUGCUGGAAGAAUUAAGUACUAAAGAUACUCAAGAAGGCAUUGGAGGAGCUUGCUCCUUGGGCAGUUGGUUUUGGAAACAUAUUCCAUGUACUUUCUUGAGAGAGAAACUUACAUUUAGUAGUUCUAUGUAGGAUCUAUGGUGUGGGAUUGCGUCAAGUCUGCAGUAUUUUCCAUAGAACAUGGCUACUAUUAGUUCUAUGGCUACUAUUAAAGUGUUUGCGGUGAAUAAUGGACAGCUAUUAUAUUGUCUAUGAUGAUGAUGAUGUUGCAUUGUGGUAAAUGUCAACAAUUGUGGACCUGUUGACAUUGACUUUGGCAUGUCUAGUGUUUGUGGUAAUAGUAGAAAAUGGUAUUUUUGGAUCAGUGAUCCUGUAACCUGUUGCCUAAAGCCCUGUUACGUUGGUUGAGUUGCUUUGAAUGUUGGUUUGCAAAAGAGACGUGUUUGUGGGAGUCUUUCGAUUUUGGCA
rnacentral:lncRNA from 1 species